CUUUACUAUAGCCUGGAAUUGUGUUCGGGCUUCGCUUACGCAGGAUAGGUGGGAGGCUGUGAAGUUCUGCUUGUGGGCAGAAUCGAGCCAACGGUGAGAUACCACUUUAGCGAGGCUAGAAUUCUAACCCUUACCCGUCAUCCGGGAAGGAGACAGUUUCAGGGGGGUAGUUUGACUGGGGCGGUCGCCUCCUAAAAGGUAAUGGAGGCGCGCAAAGGUUCCCUCAGGCUGGUUGGAAAUCAGCCAGAGAGUGCAAAGGCAUAAGGGAGCUUGACUGCAAGACCUACAAGUCGAGCAGGGUGGGAACACGGUCUUAGUGAUCCGACGGUUCCGUGUGGAAGGGCCGUCGCUCAACGGAUAAAAGUUA
rnacentral:rRNA from 1 species